AACGAACGCUGGCGGCGCGCCUAAUACAUGCAAGUCGAGCGAGAAGACGUAGCAAUACGUUUGUAAAGCGGCGAACGGGUGAGGAAUACAUGGGUAACCUACCCUCGAGUGGGGAAUAACUAGCCGAAAGGUUAGCUAAUACCGCGUACGCUCCUUGGACUUCGGUUCAGGGAGGAAAGCGAUACCGUGGGUAUCGCGCUCUUGGAUGGGCUCAUGUCCUAUCAGCUUGUUGGUGGGGUAACGGCUCACCAAGGCUUCGACGGGUAGCUGGUCUGAGAGGACGAUCAGCCACACUGGCACUGCGACACGGGCCAGACUCCUACGGGAGCAGCAGUAAGGAAUAUUGCGCAAUGGGCGAAAGCCUGACGCAGCGACGCCGCGUGGGGAUGAAGGUCUUCGGAUUGUAAACCCCUUUCGGGAGGGAAGAUGGAACGAGCAAUCGUUCGGACGGUACCUCCAGAAGCAGCCACGGCUAACUUCGU
rnacentral:rRNA from 1 species